rnacentral:tRNA from 1 species
CGUGGCUCAAUGGAUAGAGCAUCAGACUUCUAAUCUGGGGGUUGCGGGUUCAAGUCCCGCCGG